rnacentral:rRNA from 1 species
CGAAGGGUGCAAGCGUUACUCGGAAUUACUGGGCGUAAAGCGUGCGUAGGUGGUUUGUUAAGUCUGAUGUGAAAGCCCUGGGCUCAACCUGGGAACUGCAUUGGAAACUGGCUUACUAGAGUGCGGUAGAGGGGUGUGGAAUUCCCGGUGUAGCAGUGAAAUGCGUAGAUAUCGGGAGGAACAUCUGUGGCGAAGGCGACACCCUGGACCAGCACUGACACUGAGGCACGAAAGCGUGGGGAGCAAACAGGAUUAGAUACCCUGGUAGUCCACGCCCUAAACGAUGCGAACUGGAUGUUGGGGGCAACUUGGCCCUCAGUAUCGAAGCUAACGCGUUAAGUUCGCCGCCUGGGAAGUACGGUCGCAAGACUG